UCUUGCCUACGGGGGGCAGCAGUGGGGGAUAUUGCACAAUGGGGGGAACCCUGAUGCAGCGACGCCGCGUGGGUGAAGAAGUAUUUCGGUAUGUAAAGCCCUCUCGGCAGGGAAGAAUUUAGACGGUACCUGACUAAGAAGCCCCGGCUAACUACGUGCCAGCAGCCGCGGUAAUACGUAGGGGGCAAGCGUUAUCCGGAUUCACUGGGGGUAAAGGGAGCGUAGACGGCCAUGCAAGCCUGGGGUGAAAGCCCGGGGCCC
rnacentral:rRNA from 1 species